UCCACACACAGCAAGCUGAAAGUCACUGAAAACAGUCAACAGUUGACUGUGGGAGAAAGUACUCAGGGCCUUCAAGCUAAACACUAUGAAAGGCACAUCAACCACACUUAUACAGACUGUAUAUAACAACCAACUCUAAAAUGUUCGUUUGCAGAGAAAAGACAGGCAGACUCUGCUUACAGGAUGUGAUGUGACAACACUAAUGAAAUAUUGAUGUGUCAUAGUUGUUCAAGACGUUUUUCUUAUGGGCAAAAAUAUUAAAAUCAUGAUUAACAGGGGUGGUGAUUUCUAUGACUUUGUGUAUAUAAUUUGGAAUUUUUUUUACAACUGUGGGCCAAAAAUAAAUACACAAUAUUAUUUCAUUCAUUUCAAAGGUUUAUUUGCAUGACGCACAAACACACAAUUGAAAGGUACAAAUGUGUUGUGCGUGAAACGAAUUCAAACGUGCUGCAGAUGUGUGUCACAAGUUGAUCUGGCUGUAGGCUGUGGCACUUGGCCAGAGGUGGCGCUGGUUGACUCGAGUCCAUGUUAGUGCACACAAAGUAAACUGCACGCUUUAGUUGUGAAGCAAAAACGCUGAAACCGGAGAAAUAAAACGUGCGAGGGGAACGAUAACGACGACAAGAGUGUCCCGAUCGUUUACUCUUCCUGUCCUGUGAACAACACCGGCGUGGUGUUAAUUGUUCGCGGUUUUCGCGAUCGCGUCGCGCAUGAGAAUAUCACCAGCAGCUCCUGAAACGCAAGACUGCCACACAUCUGUUCGACCAACGCCAGUUGAUUUUUUUGUCCCAGUCCAGCCCUGGAUGCAUCUGGAGACGGUCCUAUUAAGUCCUAUUCUAAAGGCUGAUUGCCCUCCCCCACGCUUGUACCUGUGGCUUUGUGUCCUGGGGGUGGGGGUUAGUUGUUCUCCUGCCCUGCACCCCAUCCUUUUGUUCAUAUUCAAAGACUAUUUUUCUGUAUCUAUUCUUACUCCCUAAAAACCGCCAGAUUAUAAUGUUGCAAGCAAUCACAAACUCUACAGUCUGUCUAACUCCAGUGUAUACCAAGCAAUCUAUUAUUCUCAACAGAGCUAAACUCAACAUAAACUGAACCCACAUUAAAGUUAGCUCGGUGCUUACCUUUAGAUGAGCCCACAAACCGAGAGAGACUCCGUGAUGAAGCUGGAAGUUUUUCCAAACACAGGACACAGAUCAGGGAGCAGAGACCCACGUGGUUCACGCUGAUCUGAGCUACGAUCCAGGAGACAAGGGUGUGCGGAUCGAUGCAGAAAUUGACCCCAACGUUGGUAGUUGUAUAUGUUCCUGUAAGUUCACUACUUUACUCCGGUUUCAUGAAAAAGCAGCUCUCUCUGCUCGAUUCCUCUCCUGCAAACACAUACUUUCUCCGCCCCCUUUUCCCGGCUCUGCAGUGAUUUGUUACUGGGUUUGGUCACGUGACGCACUUGCACAACGUAACCACGCGGGGUUUAAUUUCAAAAUUAGUGCGUAUCUCCUUUUCCUAAACUCUUUUCUUUGGCCUUGAUGAAAACGUCCUCGUGUGAAGGAGAAUUACUAAAGACUCAGGAAAAGAGAGGAGCGUUGCUGAGAAUUGGAACAGCCUUACACUCGUUUCUCUGUAACAAUGUGACACCGGAUGUCGCCUGUUGAAACUACAUUGUGCUGAAGAUGGACUACAAAACAAACAUCAGGGGUCACCAACCUUUUUGAAAGUGAGAGCUACUUCUUGGGUACUGAUUAAUGUGAAGGGCUACCAGUUUGACAUACACUUCUCAAAUAACAAAUUUCCUCAAUUUAACUUUAAUUAUGUGUU
rnacentral:lncRNA from 1 species